rnacentral:rRNA from 1 species
AAAAUAACAAAAAGAAACAAAAAACAAAAAAACAUCUAAAAAAAAAAAAAAAAAGAAAGAAAGAAAACAUGGCUGUUCCUACUUCC